CCUACGGGGGGCUGCAGUGGGGAAUAUUGGACAAUGGGCGAAAGCCUGAUCCAGCCAUGCCGCGUGUGUGAAGAAGGCCUUCGGGUUGUAAAGCACUUUCAGUGGGGAAGAAAGCCUUGGGGCUAAUACCCUCGAGGAAGGACAUCACCCACAGAAGAAGCACCGGCUAACUCCGUGCCAGCAGCCGCGGUAAUACGGAGGGUGCGAGCGUUAAUCGGAAUUACUGGGCGUAAAGCGCGCGUAGGCGGUCUGAUAAGCCGGUUGUGAAAGCCCCGGGCUCAACCUGGGAACGGCAUCCGGAGCUGUCAGGCUAGAGUGCAGGAGAGGAAGGUAGAAUUCCCGGUGUAGCGGUGAAAUGCGUAGAGAUCGGGAGGAAUACCAGUGGCGAAGGCGGUCUUCUGGACUGACACUGACGCUGAGGUGCGAAAGCGUGGGUAGCAAACAGGAUUAGAUACCCUGGUAGUC
rnacentral:rRNA from 1 species